UACGUAGGGGGCUAGCGUUGUCCGGAAUUACUGGGCGUAAAGGGCGCGUAGGCGGGAUGGCAAGUCGGUCGUGAAAUCCUUCGGCUCAACCGAAGAACGUCGAUCGAUACUGCUGUUCUUGAGGGUUGCAGAGGAGACUGGAAUUCCCGGUGUAGCGGUGAAAUGUGUAGAGAUCGGGAGGAACACCGGUGGCGAAGGCGGGUCUCUGGGCAAUUCCUGACGCUGAGGCGCGAAAGCGUGGGGAGCAAACGGG
rnacentral:rRNA from 1 species